CAGUCGCCACGGUAAUACGAAGGGGGCUAGCGUUGCUCGGAAUCACUGGGCGUAAAGGGCGCGUAGGCGGGUCCUUAAGUCAGGGGUGAAACCCUGGAGCUCAACUCCAGAACUGCCUUUGAUACUGAAGAUCUUGAGUUCGGGAGAGGUGAGUGGAACUGCGAGUGUAGAGGUGAAAUUCGUAGUUAUUCGCAAGAACACCAGUGGCGAAGGCGGCUCACUGGCCCGAUACUGACGCUGAGGCACGAAAGCGUGGGGAGCAAACAGGACUAGAUACCCCGGUAGUCCCUGUCUCUUAUAU
rnacentral:rRNA from 1 species